AUUGAACGCUGGCGGCAGGCCUAACACAUGCAAGUCGAGCGAGCGGCGGACGGGUGAGUAAUGUAUGGGAAUCUGCCUGAUGGAGGGGGAUAACUACUGGAAACGGUAGCUAAUACCGCAUACCAUCAGAUGAGCCCAGAUGGGAUUAGCUAGUAGGUGGGGUAACGGCUUACCUAGGCGACGAUCCCUAGCUGGUCUGAGAGGAUGAUCAGCCACACUGGGACUGAGACACGGCCCAGACUCCUACGGGAGGCAGCAGUGGGGAAUAUUGCACAAUGGGCGCAAGCCUGAUGCAGCCAUGCGGCGUGUAUGAAGAAGGCCUUCGGGUUGUAAAGCACUUUCAGUCUGGAGGCGUUACCGACAGAAGAAGCACCGGCUAACUCCGUGCCAGCAGCCGCGGUAGUUC
rnacentral:rRNA from 1 species